GUGCUCCCUUCAGCAGCACAUAUAUAAAGUUGAACAAUACAGGAAAGAUUAGCAUGGCCUUUGGGCAAGAACAGCACCCAAAUUCAUGAAACAUUCCGUUUUUUUUU
rnacentral:snRNA from 1 species